UACGUAGGUGUCGAGCGUUGUCCGGAUUUAUUGGGCGUAAAGCGCCCGCAGGCGGCUUGGCAAGUUCGAGGUGAAAUCUCCCGGCUCAACUGGGAGGGUGCCUCGGAAACUGCCAGGCUUGAGGCAGGGAGAGGGAUGUGGAAUUCCCGGUGUAGUGGUGAAAUGCGCAGAUAUCAGGAGGAACACCGGUGGCGAAGGCGGGUCUCUGGGCAGUAACUGACGCUGAGGAGCGAAAGCGUGGGGAGCGAACAGG
rnacentral:rRNA from 1 species